rnacentral:tRNA from 1 species
GCCUCAGUAGCAUCAAUGGUAAUGCAGCGAUCUCAAAAAUCGUGUCUCACCCCGAGACUUCUGGGUUCGAAUCCCAGCUGAGGCG